rnacentral:rRNA from 1 species
CCAACGGCCCAUACCACGUUGAACACACCAGUUCUCGUCCGAUCACUGAAGUUAAGCAACGUCGGGCCCGGUUAGUACUUGGAUGGGUGACCGCCUGGGAACCCCGGGUGCUGGUUGUA